UACAGAGGUGGCAAGCGUUGUUCGGAAUUACUGGGCGUAAAGGGCGCGUAGGCGGUUCGUUAAGUCCUGUGUGAAAUCCCCCGGCUCAACUGGGGAACUGCACAGGAAACUAGCGGGCUUGAGUUCGGGAGAGGGAAGCGGAAUUCCGGGUGUAGCGGUGAAAUGCGUAGAUAUCCGGAGGAACACCGGUGGCGAAGGCGGCUCCUGGACCGACACUGACGCUGAGGCGCGAAAGCUAGGGGAGCAAAGCGGG
rnacentral:rRNA from 1 species